CAAGAUCCCAUAGACGCUUCAAGGAAAGAAGGAAAUGUAUUAAGAUUCAAGAAGUAAACUAACAUUGAACAGAAUGUCAUCGAAAGGAAAGACUGUCUUGGUAUUAUUAGAAAGUUUAGCAGGGACAAAACAUAAAUAUGUACGCUUACGGCCACGUAUUGAUGGACCAGGAGAGGCUGUACUGUUUGAUCCAUUAGUGAGAGAAAAUGUGUUAUAUAAGGAAAUAAAGAAAAUCAAGACACUAAAGGAUAAGAAGAGAGAAAAAAGUGGAUCUAAAAGAUAAAAUGUGAAAAUGAACAUAGAAAUUGUGAUAUAUAUGAAUGUUGUGUUUAUAAUACAUGUAUUUGCAAACACAUCAACUGAUUUGUGAAGUGGACUUAACAAGAUGACUGUAAAGAGGAGGACUGAUAUGCAUUGAGCAGAGUAUGUCUAUUUACACUGCCUAAUAAACAUUGAAUCUACAAAAAAAUGUGUAAUGGGGUAUAAUUUGUUUGUAUUGUUCAUAAAAUUCAGUAAUUAUCCAUUACUGUAAAAUGUCAAUAGUGAGUUAGUUUCAUCCUCACACUUCUCUUUAAUAAAUCCAGUCAUAAUGUCAAUUAGUUUAUCCUUACAAUGAAAA